UCGUAACAAGGUUUCCGUAGGUGAACCUGCGGAAGGAUCAUUAGUGAAUAUAGGACGUCCAACUUAACUUGGAGUCCGAACUCUCACUUUCUAACCCUGUGCACUUGUUUGGGAUAGUAACUCUCGCAAGAGAGCGAACUCCUAUUCACUUAUAAACACAAAGUCUAUGAAUGUAUUAAAUUUUAUAACGAAAUAAAACUUUCAACAACGGAUCUCUUGGCUCUCGCAUCGAUGAAGAACGCAGCGAAAUGCGAUAAGUAAUGUGAAUUGCAGAAUUCAGUGAAUCAUCGAAUCUUUGAACGCACCUUGCGCUCCAUGGUAUUCCGUGGAGCAUGCCUGUUUGAGUGUCAUGAAUACUUCAACCCUCCUCUUUCUUAAUGAUUGAAGAGGUGUUUGGUUUCUGAGCGCUGCUGGCCUUUACGGUCUAGCUCGUUCGUAAUGCAUUAGCAUCCGCAAUCGAACUUCGGAUUGACUUGGCGUAAUAGACUAUUCGCUGAGGAAUUCUAGUCUUCGGAUUAGAGCCGGGUUGGGUUAAAGGAAGCUUCUAAUCAGAAUGUCUACAUUUUAAGAUUAGAUCUCAAAUCAGGUAGGACUACCCGCUGAACCUAAGCAUAUCA
rnacentral:misc_RNA from 1 species